rnacentral:rRNA from 1 species
GACGAACCGAGCGAACGUUGUUCGGAAUCACUGGGCUUAAAGGGAGCGUAGGCGGGCUAUCAAGUCUGGGGUGAAAUGCCGCGGCUCAACCGUGGAACUGCCUCAGAUACUGACGGCCUCGAGGGGGAUAGGGGCAUGCGGAACUGUAGGUGGAGCGGUGAAAUGCGUUGAUAUCUACAGGAACUCCGGUGGCGAAAGCGGCGUGCUGGAUCCCUUCUGACGCUGAGGCUCGAAAGCUAGGGGAGCAAACGGG